CGAUUUUAUUUGAUGAUGAUUUUAAUUAAUUUUAUUCGAUGAUUUUAUUCGAAUUUAUUCGAUGAUGAGUUUAUUUAUUUUAAUUUUAUGAUAAUUUUAUUCGUUUUAAUUCGAUGGUGUUUUUAUUCGAUUUAUUCGAUGUUGAUUUUAUUAGUUUUCGUUGGAUGAUGAUUUUAUUCGGGUUUAUUCGAUGAUGAUUAUAUUGGAUUUUAUUUUAUAAUUUUAUUCGAUUUUAUUUGAGGAUAAUUUUAUUUGAGUUUAUUCGAUGAUUGUUUUAUUCGAUUUUAUUCGGUGAUUUUAUUCGAUUUUAUUUGAUAAUGAUUUUAAUCGAGAUUAUUCGAUGAUUUUAUUUAAUUUUAUUUAAUAAUGAUUUUUUUUGAGUUUAUUUAAUGAUUUUAUUUUAGUUUAUUCGAUGAUUUUAUUUGAUUUUAUUUAAUGAAUUUAUUCGAUUUUAUUUUAUGACGAUUUUAUUUAUUUUUAUUUGAUG
rnacentral:misc_RNA from 1 species